UACGUAGGGGGCAAGCGUUGUCCGGAUUUAUUGGGCGUAAAGGGCGCGUAGGCGGCCUUCUAAGUCGAACGUGAAAUCCCCGGGCUCAACCCGGGAACUGCGUCCGAUACUGGAAGGCUUGAAUCCGGGAGAGGGAUGCGGAAUUCCAGGUGUAGCGGUGAAAUGCGUAGAUAUCUGGAGGAACACCGGUGGCGAAGGCGGCAUCCUGGACCGGUAUUGACGCUGAGGCGCGAAAGCCAGGGGAGCAAACGGG
rnacentral:rRNA from 1 species